rnacentral:rRNA from 1 species
UACGUAGGGUGCGAGCGUUAAUCGGAAUUACUGGGCGUAAAGCGUGCGUAGACGGUUGCAUAAGUCGGAUGUGAAAUCCCCGGGCUCAACCUGGGAAUUGCAUUCGAGACUGUGUAGCUGGGGUGCGGAAGAGGGAAGCGGAAUUUCCGGUGUAGCGGUGAAAUGCGUAGAUAUCGGAAGGAACAUCAGUGGCGAAAGCGGCUUCCUGGUCCAGCACCGACGUUUAGGCACGAAAGCGUGGGGAG